rnacentral:rRNA from 1 species
GACGAACGCUGGCGGCGUGCUUAACACAUGCAAGUCGAACGGAAAGGCCCUGCUUUUGUGGGGUGCUCGAGUGGCGAACGGGUGAGUAACACGUGAGUAACCUGCCCUUGACUUUGGGAUAACUUCAGGAAACUGGGGCUAAUACCGGAUAGGAGCUCCUGCUGCAUGGUGGGGGUUGGAAAGUUUCGGCGGUUGGGGAUGGACUCGCGGCUUAUCAGCUUGUUGGUGGGGUAGUGGCUUACCAAGGCUUUGACGGGUAGCCGGCCUGAGAGGGUGACCGGCCACCUGGGGACUGAGAUACGGCCCAGACUCCUACGGGAGGCAGCAGUGGGGAAUAUUGCACAAUGGGCGGAAGCCUGAUGCAGCAACGCCGCGUGCGGGAUGACGGCCUUCGGGUUGUAAACCGCUUUCGCCUGUGACGAAGCGUGAGUGACGGUAAUGGGUAAAGAAGCACCGGCUAACUACGUG